GACGAACGCUGGCGGCGUGCUUAACACAUGCAAGUCGAACGGUGAAGCGCCUUCCUUUUUGGUGGGUGUGGAUGAGUGGCGAACGGGUGAGUAACACGUGAGUAACCUGCCCCCUUCUUCUGGAUAACCGCAUGAAAGUGUGGCUAAUACGGGAUAUUCUGGGUCUGUCGCAUGAUGGGUCUGGGAAAGAUAUUGUUUCGGGGGGGGAGGGGCUCGCGGCCUAUCAGCUUGUUGGUGGGGUGAUGGCCUACCAAGGCGGUGACGGGUAGCCGGCCUGAGAGGGUGGACGGUCACACUGGGACUGAGACACGGCCCAGACUCCUACGGGAGGCAGCAGUGGGGAAUAUUGCACAAUGGGCGCAAGCCUGAUGCAGCGACGCCGCGUGAGGGAUGGAGGCCUUCGGGUUGUGAACCUCUUUCGCCAGUGAAGCAGGCCUGCCUCGUUUGUGGGUGGGUUGACGGUAGCUGGAUAAGAAGCGCCGGCUAACUACGUG
rnacentral:rRNA from 1 species